AUUGAACGCUGGCGGCAUGCCUUACACAUGCAAGUCGAACGGCAGCGCGGGGCAACCUGGCGGCGAGUGGCGAACGGGUGAGUAAUAUAUCGGAACAUACCCUAGAGUGGGGAUAACGUAGCGAAAGUUACGCUAAUACCGCAUACGCACUAAGGUGGAAAGUGGGGGAUUCGCAAGAACCUCAUGCUCAUGGAGUGGCCGAUAUCUGAUUAGCUAGUUGGUGAGGUAAAGGCUCACCAAGGCGACGAUCAGUAGCUGGUUUGAGAGAACAACCAGCCACACUGGAACUGAGACACGGUCCAGACUCCUACGGGAGGCAGCAGUGGGGAAUUUUGGACAAUGGGGGCAACCCUGAUCCAGCAAUGCCGCGUGAGUGAAGAAGGCC
rnacentral:rRNA from 1 species